rnacentral:miRNA from 1 species
UGAAAUCUUUGAUUAGGUCU